CAUAGCGAUGUAUGCAAGAUUGAACGAUAAUUUUCAAUUUGUCCUCAAUUGAAUAAAUAAAUAGCGGAUAAAACAAACUGGACAUAAAACGAAUUAAUAAUAUUAUUAUUAAUUUAUGUUCUGUCACGCAUAUGAUUUUGUUCCUGGGAUUGAGAUGGAUUUCAGCAUUAUAAAUUGAACGCAACGCCAGACGAAGCACAUAGUUACAGCGUAACCUCAUCAUGAAAAUUCUGAAGGCAUUCAUGUUGCUAGCCAUAGUCACCUUGUGGCUCUGCACUGACCAAUGUAUGGCAAUCCGGCGAGGAAGGCGAGCCAACUCAGCCAACAAAAGGAAGGAAUUUUGUUUCGGACCCACAAACACAUGCAAAUACAUAAAAGACGACGUGACUGCCAGGGUAGCAGUGUUGUCAGAGGAUGGCUCCCUCUGUGCAUGUGGGCAGAAGGCGUUUAUUAAUUUUAGACCGCGAUAAACGGGUCUAGAUCAGCUGUAUAAUUUUCCUGAAUAAAAUAUCCAUGG